GCAUUAUCAAUAAGCGGAGGAAAAGAAACCAACAGGGAUUGCCCCAGUAACGGCGAGUGAAGCGGCAACAGCUCAAAUUUGAAAUCUGGCCCCCGGGUCCGAGUUGUAAUUUGCAGAGGAUGCUUCGGGCGAGGUGCCUUCCGAGUUCCCUGGAACGGGACGCCACAGAGGGUGAGAGCCCCGUCUGGUCGGACACCGAGCCCGUGUGAAGCUCCUUCGAAGAGUCGAGUAGUUUGGGAAUGCUGCUCAAAACGGGAGGUAUAUGUCUUCUAAAGCUAAAUAUUGGCCAGAGACCGAUAGCGCACAAGUAGAGUGAUCGAAAGAUGAAAAGCACUUUGAAAAGAGGGUUAAAAAGUACGUGAAAUUGUUGAAAGGGAAGCGCCCAUGACCAGACUUGGGCCCGGUGAAUCACCCGGCGUUCUCGCCGGUGCACUUUGCCGGGCACAGGCCAGCAUCAGUUUGGCGCGGGGGAGAAAGGCUUCGGGAACGUGGCUCCCUCGGGAGUGUUAUAGCCCGCUGCGCAAUACCCUGCGCCGGACUGAGGUACGCGCAUCGCAAGGAUGCUGGCGUAAUGGUCAUCAGCGACCCGUCUUGAAACACGGACCAAGGAGUCGUCUUCGUAUGCGAGUGUUCGGGUGUCAAACCCCUACGCGGAAUGAAAGUGAACGCAGGUGAGAGCUUCGGCGCAUCAUCGACCGAUCCUGAUGUUCUCGGAUGGAUUUGAGUAAGAGCAUACGGGGCCGGACCCGAAAGAAGGUGAACUAUGCCUGUAUAGGGUGAAGCCAGAGGAAACUCUGGUGGAAGCUCGCAGCGGUUCUGACGUGCGAAUCGAUCGUCAAAUAUGGGCAUGGGGGCGAAAGACUAAUCGAACCUUCUAGUAGCUGGUUUCCGCCGAGCCCCCCCCGGGG
rnacentral:rRNA from 1 species